rnacentral:rRNA from 1 species
UACGUAGGGUGCGAGCGUUGUCCGGAAUUACUGGGCGUAAAGCGCACGUAGGCGGUCUUUUAAGUCGGGGGUGAAAUCCCGGAGCUCAACUCCGGAACUGCCUUUGAUACUGGCGAUCUUGAGAUCGGAAGAGGUGAGUGGAAUUCCCAGUGUAGAGGUGAAAUUCGUAGAUAUUGGGAAGAACACCAGUGGCGAAGGCGGCUCACUGGUCCGAUACUGACGCUGAGGUGCGAAAGCGUGGGGAGCAAACAGG